rnacentral:misc_RNA from 1 species
GAUGAAGAACGUAGCGAAAUGCGAUAAGUAAUGUGAAUUGCAGAUUUCAGUGAAUCAUCGAAUCUUUGAACGCACAUUGCGCCCGCUAGUAUUCUGGCGGGCAUGCCUGUUCGAGCGUCAUUUCAACCAUCAAGCCCUAGGCUUGCGUUGGAGCCCUGCGGCUGCCGCAGGCUCCCAAAUCCAGUGGCGGGCUCGUCGUCGUACCGAGUGCAGUAAACAUCCUCGCUCAGGGAACGUGACGGGUUCUUGCCGUGAAACCCCCCACAUAUCAAGGUUGACCUCGGAUCAGGUAGGAAUACCCGCUGAACUUAAGCAUAUCAAUAAGCGGAGGA